CCUACGGGAGGCAGCAGUGGGGGAUAUUGCACAAUGGGGGAAACCCUGAUGCAGCGACGCCGCGUUUGGGCAGCCGUUCCUCUGGAUUUUAAACCACUGUCCCCAGGGACGAAGAUGACGGUACCUGGGUAGGAAGCCCCGGCUAACUACGUGCCAGCAGCCGCGGUAAUACGUAGGGAGCAAGCGUUGUCCGGAAUUACUGGGUGUAAAGGGAGCGUAGGCGGGAUGGCAAGUUGGGUGUUAAAUCUACCGGCUCAACUGGUAGUCGCACUCAAAACUGCUAUUCUUGAGUGAAGUAGAGGCAGGCGGAAUUCCUAGUGUAGCGGUGAAAUGCGUAGAUAUUAGGAGGAACACCAGUGGCGAAGGCGGCCUGCUGGGCUUUUACUGACGCUGAGGCUCGAAAGUGUGGGGAGCAAACAGGAGUAGAUACCCCUGUAGUC
rnacentral:rRNA from 1 species